rnacentral:rRNA from 1 species
CACGUAGUUAGCCGUGGCUUCCUCCUCAGGUACCGUCAUUAUCGUCCCUGAAGACAGAGCUUUACAACCCGAAGGCCGUCAUCACUCACGCGGCGUUGCUGCAUCAGGGCUUCCCCCAUUGUGCAAUAUUCCCCACUACUGCCUCCCGUAGGAGUCUGGGCCGUGUCUCAGUCCCAAUGUGGCCGAUCACCCUCUCAGGUCGGCUACGCAUCGUCGCCUUGGUGAGCCGUUACCUCACCAACUAGCUAAUGCGCCGCGGGUCCAUCUCAUAGCGGAUUACUCCUUUAAUUGCUGUACCAUGCGGUACUACAAUCUUAUGCGGUAUUAAUCUUCCUUUCGAAAGGCUAUUCCCUCUAUGAGGCAGGUUACCCACGUGUUACUCACCCGUCCGCCGCUAACUCCACUUCCCCGAAGGUAAAUUUCAUCGCUCGACUUGCAUGUGUUAGGCACGCCGCCAGCGUUCGUCCUCGACGCCGACGGAUACGAAACUCCUACUGUACGACUGACCG